GACGGGGGUCGCCUGUUAACGCCGAGAGGCGCCACCAGUAAGUGCUGCUGGCCGGGCCUCCUGAGGGCUGGGAACGCCGGGCUGCGGCCCGGGGAUGUGGUGUCGGGAAAAAUUGCUGCACAAUAACUGGGAAAUGUAUGCUUUUGAACAGCUGAAGUCUUGUAAUGGGCCUGUCCCAUUGACCCCAUGGGAAUCCUAUCAGUGCCCUGCUUGUUCAUGGAAUAUGUAAUUCAGUGUUAUGGGGUAUUUACCAUUCAUUUUUGCACUCAGAUAAUAAAAAUAAGAUGUCCCUUAUUA